rnacentral:rRNA from 1 species
AUUGAACGCUGGCGGCAGGCCUAACACAUGCAAGUAGAACGAGUGGCGGACGGGUGAGUAAUGUCUGGGAAACUGCCUGAUGGAGGGGGAUAACUACUGGAAACGGUAGCUAAUACCGCAUACCAUCAGAUGUGCCCAGAUGGGAUUAGCUUGUUGGUGGGGUAACGGCUCACCAGGGCGACGAUCCCUAGCUGGUCUGAGAGGAUGACCAGCCACACGGGACCGGCACCACGGUCCGGACGCCUACGGGAGGCAGCAGUGGGGAAUAUUGGACAAUGGGCGCAAGCCGGAUGCAGCCAGGCCGCGUGUAUGAAGAGGGCCUUCGGGUUGAAAAGUAUUUUCAGCGGGGAGGCGUUACCCGCAGAAGAAGCACCGGCUAACUCCGUGCCAGCAGCCGCGGUAAUUC